UCUUGGUUAGCUUAGUCGGUAGAGCAUCAUACUUUAAAUCUGAGGGUCAGUGGUUCGAAUCCCUAAUCGCGGG
rnacentral:tRNA from 1 species